GGGGCGGCCGGAACAGCGAUGCCGGCGGGCAUGACGAAGCAUGGCUCCCGCUCCACCAGCUCGCUGCCGCCCGAGCCCAUGGAGAUCGUGCGCAGCAAGGCGUGCUCUCGGCGGGUCCGCCUCAACGUCGGGGGGCUGGCACACGAGGUGCUCUGGCGUACCCUGGACCGCCUGCCCCGCACGCGGCUGGGCAAGCUCCGUGACUGCAACACGCAUGACUCGCUGCUCGAGGUGUGCGACGACUACAGCCUCGACGACAACGAGUACUUCUUUGAUCGCCACCCGGGCGCCUUCACCUCCAUCCUCAACUUCUACCGCACGGGACGACUGCACAUGAUGGAGGAGAUGUGCGCUCUCAGCUUCAGCCAAGAGCUCGACUACUGGGGCAUCGACGAGAUCUACUUGGAGUCCUGCUGCCAGGCCCGCUACCACCAGAAGAAGGAGCAGAUGAACGAAGAGCUCAAGCGUGAGGCCGAGACCCUACGGGAGCGGGAAGGCGAGGAGUUCGAUAACACGUGCUGCGCAGAGAAGAGGAAAAAAACUCUGGGACCUACUGGAGAAGCCCAAUUCCUCUGUGGCUGCCAAGUAUCGUUUGAAAGAAAUUGUGGUUAUCCAUCAAGACCCAGAAGCUCUUAAAGAUGUCAAGUCUUUGGAGAAUUAUGUCAUUGAGGUACGCUCUGCUAAGGAAGUCAAAAGAAUGGCAAGGGCGUGAUGGCCUCAACAACCUGAACUACUUUACAAACAUCACAUAUGACGCCUUGUAUAAAAACAUAACUGUCAACCUGACACCCGAGCUGGCUCAGGUGAACGAGUACUGAGAGGAGAGAAUGUAUGUUUGCUUUACCCACCGCCAGCAAGAAAGCAGUCUGAUGAGAUUUUUUUUUGGCGGGGGUGGGGGUCCUACACAGGAAGAGAACAGAAAUACAGUGUCUCAUGAAGGAUCACAGGGUUUGGGGGAAAAUGUGACCGCACACGCACAAACGUCUUCACUGGAUCAGCUGCUGGGACCGAGGGAGUGAGCUUGGGGACUUCCUUCGUCAGCACUGGCUUUGUAUUUUCACAAGACAGAGGGCUGUCCCGCUGCUCUCUCCCUGUCUCCAACCCCACAUCCUGUCUUAGCCACAGUCUCCAGAACCCAUGAUGAACUGUGAUCUGCUGUGGUCCUGCCGUGGAGCCUGUCCCUAUGUGUGUGACCUUGCAGCCUCUUGGCCUUCAGAGCAGAGGCAAACCCAGCACAGGGCAGCUGUGUUUUAGGAAGAGCAAAUGACACUCCACACCAUUCUUCUAUAUUUCUGGUGCUGUCUUUGGUUUCAUUUUUUUAAAAAAAUUACCUUUGGGUGGGGAUUGAGGGUGGAGGGGAGGGUGUUUGGGAAAGAUAAAUAGACAUAAAUAUAUAACAAUCAGUUCUUGAAGUAUAAUUGUAAAUAAGCCAUGUAAAAUGCCUUUUUAAAAUUUAAUUUCUAGGUGGCUCCAGUUCAAACCUAGGGUUUAUAUAUUAGACCAUUUAUUUGGUUGGCAAGUGCAGGAACUCAGUUAAAAUGCAGUUGGAGGAUGUCAUCUCCCGAAUGGCUGUCACCUGGGGAAGGGAGUGGAUAUAGGGCACGUCACAAAAGAUCAAAAUAACCCGACCUUUAUUGCCGGGAGCUGGCUUCUGCCCCUUUCUUUCUCCCCAUGAGUCUUGUCCUUGACUUCUGCUCUGGAUUCACUCUUCCCUGUUGGCCACGUUCCCGCUCAUCCCACUCUCCGCUAAGCGGGAGGCUGCUAUUAGAGCAGGCUGCUUCCUGCCCGAAGCAGGCCCUCCGGGGCUCGCUGCACACACAUCCCUGGCUCUCCAGGCUUCAUGUUUCGUCCUUUGAUCAGCAUGUGGUUUGGGAGGGGGGUUGUAUGGGAAUCCCUCCCCCCCUUUUUUCUCUGUGGAAACUUGGCCACAGUUUCUGAACAAUGUGCCUACAUUACCAGCUGGCUUCAGUGAUUCCUCUGUUUCCCUUUUUGGUUUCUGGAAAGAUUCUUUGUCAACAUUAGUAACUGAUACAGAGAACAAGGAGCACUGGAGUAGGAAAGAAUUCAGCCAGGGAGCCGGUGACACUUGUGUGCUGUGGGGCAGCUGGGAUCCAGGAAAGACCGGAUGGAAGCUUUGAAAUUAGACCAACAAAGCUCCAGAUGGCAAGAGCCCAGGUGCGCUGGUUACACCCCCACCUGCAUUUUGAAGUCAUAUAUAUAUAUUUUUUUUUUUGAAGACAGGGUCUGGCUCUGUCACCUGGGCUGGAGUACAUCAGCACCAUCACAGUUCACUGAAGCCUCCAUCUCCCGGGCUCAAGCCAUUUUCCCACCUCAGCCUUCCAUGUAGCUGGGACUACAGGUGCACACCCCCAUACCUGGCUAAUGUUUUGUAUUUUUAGUGGAGAUGGGGUUUCGCCGUGUUGCCCCGGCUUCUCUCAAACUACUAGACUCAAGCAAUCCACCCACCUUGACUUCCAAAGUACUGGGAUUACGGGAGGUGUGAGCCAUCAUGCCCAGCCUGAAGUCAUAUUUUAAAUUGUAUUUGAAUUUGUGCCUCUUUGUUUUUCCCCCGAACCAAAGCCCUCAAUUUGUAGUCCCUGUCCGCUUCUGCAGAAAUCUGGAAAAUGCCAGUUUCCCUCCCCCCCUUUCUUUUCCAUACAACAUAUUUAUAUAUUGUGGUGAAGAGUACUUUCUGAAGAGUACUUUGUAUUAAUUUUAAUUGCCUUGUUUGCCUUCAACUUCCUUGAUUUUCAUGGUUUACAUGGGUGUGUGUAGGGGUGUGUGUGUGUGUGUGUGUAUACGUGUGGGUUAGGGCUUUUGUGUUGUAUGUGAUGGUUCUGUGGACAUAUGAUCCCCGCAAACUGGGAGUGAUUGGACAGGACUUGUUUUCAUGUUUGUAUUUUCUUUUGAAGAAUACAGUGGUAUUUAGAAAAUAAAUUGCAUUGCAAAGCUCUUAUCGGCUCAUAUGAGAGAGCAGGCUCCUGCCCUUGAAAAUGCUGGUAAGCUAUAGCCUAUGUUUUUUUAAACUUUUAAGCAUUUCAUGCUUUAAAUUACCUUCAGAAGGGAACAUUACACCCAGAGGUUCAUUUGGUUUUCCUUUGUUUUAGGGUGCAUAUAGCAAUAAAGAACCCCUAACCCAAUUUUGCCCUCUACUGUGCAACCCCACCCCCACCAGGCCUUUGUCCCUGCCUCAGCUUUUCUCCCCUUCUCAUUCUCCUCUCUCUUUUCCUCACUGAAGGCUGUGAGUUGCUUUCAUUGUGACGACACUGUGAUGUCAUUUGGAAGGAUUUGCCAGUACAGACUGAUUCUGAGUUACAGGCGGCAGUGUUGUUUGAAGCUCUACAUUACCAUAAUUACCAUCAAGUACACACUGUUGGCAAAAGACUAACACCUGACUUUUAAAUACUGAUUUGAGAACAAAAGGGAAAGGGUCUCUUUUCACUGCUUAAAGUAGGGUCACAUCGAUACCCUUGCGGUCACAAGUCCGUCUGAUGAGUGUGGAAUCUCUGAAUAUAAUUGUCAUGCGUCCACCGGGUCUUGAAUAUUAUAUGGGAAAUGUCAUAGUUAAAAACGUAAUAGCAUGGAAUUGUCAUUUAAAAAAAAAAACAGGAACCAAAUGUGACCUUGUGCAUAUGUUGACAGCUGAAAAUCUUUAUGGCUACUGAUGGGUGGCCCCUUAAAUUAAUCUUGUCUUUGAUUGCUGUGUGCCGGGAAAGGUGUCCCUGUUGAUGCUGUUUCUGGGGGAAAGGGGGUACUUGCAAGAAUACUCAGUUUGACAUAAUAGGUCCUGUUGUCAGAGAUCCUCUACCACAGACAUGAAUAGCUGAGCAGCAGCCACAAGGAUUGAUUGUAUCCACCACCAUUGACAAUAGCUUUGAGCAUAGCUAGCUUAUUUCCAUCACUACGUGUUUUUGAGCUCGCUCUUAUGUUUUAAGAGGUGCCAGGGGUACAUUUUUGCACUGAAAUCUUAAGAUGUUUUAAAAAAACUUUUCACAAAAAAUAGUCCUUUGUCAUUACAUUAUUUACUCAUGUGUUUGUACAUUUUUGUAAGUUAAUUUAUGACUGAUUUUUUCAGUAAAAAAUACAUAUUCAAGAACCAAA